UACGUAGGUGGCAAGCGUUGUCCGGAAUUAUUGGGCGUAAAGCGCGCGCAGGCGGUCCUUUAAGUCUGAUGUGAAAGCCCACGGCUCAACCGUGGAGGGUCAUUGGAAACUGGGGGACUUGAGUGCAGAAGAGGAAAGCGGAAUUCCACGUGUAGCGGUGAAAUGCGUAGAGAUGUGGAGGAACACCAGUGGCGAAGGCGGCUUUCUGGUCUGUAACUGACGCUGAGGAGCGAAAGCAUGGGGAGCGAACAGG
rnacentral:rRNA from 1 species